CUAUGUAAAUCACCAAUAGGACUACUGGCGCUAAGUGGUAGCACUUUAAAUACAGCUGCAGCAUUAGUCAUGAAAUCGCCUACCAGGGGAAUGAGAGCAGAGAGUAAAAAUCCAUCAUUGUGGGUCUUACCAAGACUCCAUGACAGGGGGAUAACAGAAACAAUAUCCUGCUGGGAUCCUCCCCAUCAUCUGAACUGAUGCGGAACAUACCAACUGCUUUUGAAGGAGUCUGAUGCAGGCACGAUUAUCAAAAUGUGCAUAUAACUGGCCUGAAAUGAUGCUAUCAAGCAUUUCUGUUGGCCCGAUCACAUCCCCCUGUAUUAACUAAAUGUAGAGCGAUUAUCCUACUUUGUCUGUGCGACCUGGCUUUAUGCCGGCAUUUAUCCUGAAGAACUUUUUUCAUGUGACCUGGCUCUAUGCCAGUUUUAUUACACCUCCUGAUGAGCCCAUAGCAUUGUCUAGGGGGAAACGCGUUGAGGUAGCUAAGGUGUAUGACUAUAAAGUCAACCCUGAACAAUCAUAUGUUUUGUAUAUGGCUGAACUAUAUGUGUUUAGUUAAUUUUUUUCUCGUUUUGUUAUUCCAUCCAGCUGAUCUAUAUAUUUAUGACAAUCCAUUAUCCUCACCUCAUACCUGGGGCAAUUUAGAACCAUCCCUGCUGCACCCCUAUAGGGAUUUGUAAGGGGUAGUAGUUUAGGUACGUGGACAGGGGGUCUCCACCAUUAGGAGCCCUCCCUGGGCUGAGGUUUU